rnacentral:snRNA from 2 species
AUCGCUGCUCAGCCUUUUGGCUAAGAUCAAGUGUAGUAUCUGUUCUUAACAACUUGGGAGACAUGGCUCUCAGUGAGUCCAGUCUGUGACCCAGU